CAGUCGCCGCGGGAAUACGUAGGGUGCAAGCGUUAAUCGGAAUUACUGGGCGUAAAGCGUGCGCAGGCGGUUCGUUAAGACAGAUGUGAAAUCCCCGGGCUUAACCUGGGAACUGCAUUUGUGACUGGCGGGCUAGAGUAUGGCAGAGGGGGGUAGAAUUCCACGUGUAGCAGUGAAAUGCGUAGGGAUGUGGAGGAAUACCGAUGGCGAAGGCAGCCCCCUGGGCCAAUACUGACGCUCAUGCACGAAAGCGUGGGGAGCAAACAGGAUUAGAUACCCCCGUAGUCCCUGUCUCUUAUAC
rnacentral:rRNA from 1 species